AUUUAAGGGAGAUUUUUGGCUGCUAUUUCUAACAGGUUGAGCGACCACGUAGAGCGUCCCUUGUUAGUAUCGUCAUUCGUCGCCCUCAUAGUUACUCCUCACAACGUCGAUAUAUUCAACAUCCUCAUCCUGUUUCUAUUGUGGCUACUACUUAUACAACUCCUGUUGAUCUUGUUGCUGUUUAUUACUGUCAUGCUUACUGCUACUAUUGCUGCUGAUUUAAUCGUAUUGCCUUUCCUUCUAUUCUUUCAUUCACUCUCUCUCUCUAUAUAUAUAUUUCUCUUCAUAACUGCUACUGUUGCAGUUGAUUCUGUGUGGCUACAGUCACUACUGCUUUCAGCUGCUUAUUGCUCUUGUUGAUGUUUACGACUGUUACGCUUGUUGUUGCUGCUGCUACUACUGCUGCUGCUGCUGAUUUGAUCGCGUUGCUUUCGCUUCUCUCUUUUUCUCUCUCUCUCUCUCUCUUGCUAUCUCCCACUUCCCUUCCCCCUCACUCUCACAACAGUUGAUCUCAAUGCUACCGUCACUGCUGCUGCUGCUGCUGCCGCGCGUUUGCAAAUGAGAUGUUGUUAACGCCAUCUUGAAUUUUUUGAAAGUCGUAACAGCGGUAUUAUUGAGUGAAGACUUCAUUAUUACUACUACUACUACUACUAUUACUAGAGCUUUAACGACUACCACCACUACUGCUGCUACUACUACUACUACUACUGCUACAACCACCACUGCUGCUGCUGCUGUUUCUGCUACUGCUGCCUGUUAUUACAGUUCAGAAUACCAUCACUAAGAGGAACCAAGGACUGUCGGAAGGCUUACUGUAAAACAAACUACCUUUGCAAUUUACCGACGGCUGACAAACGACGUCGCCGGGAAGGAGUUAACAUUUUUUUUUCUAUUUUUUUUACAAAAAAAAAAAAAAAAAACAACAACAACCCAAACCCUUGCAA